UUUUGUCUUCUCUGUGUAUUUCCAAAUAGCCUACCUUCAAGCUCACUAAUUAUUUCUUCUGCUUGAUCAAUUCUGUUAUUAAAAGACUGUGAUGCAUUCUUCCAUAUUUGAAUUGCAUUUUUAGCUCCAGAAUUUCUACUUGAUUCUUUUUAAUUAUUUCAUUCUUUUUGUUUAAUUUGUGUGACAGAAUUAUGAAUUCCUUCUCUCUGAAAUCUUGAAAUUCUUUGAGUUUCUUCAAAACAGCAAUUUUGAAUUAUCUAUCUGAAAGGUCACUUACCUCUGUUUCUCCUAACUUGAUCCCUGGUACCUUAUGUAGUUUAUUUGGUAAGUCAUGUUUUCCUGGAUGAUCAUGAUACUUUUAAAUGUUCAUCUGUUUCUGGGCAUUGAAGAGUUAGAUAUUUAUUGUAGUCUUCAUAGUCUGAGCUUGUUUGUUCCCAUCCUUCUUGGGAGAGCUUUCCAUACAGUUGAAAGGACAUGGGUAUUACGACCUAAGCUGUAUCUGCAUUAGGGGGCACCUCAAGCCCAGUACUUCUGUGGUUCUUGCAGACUUAUACAGAUAUACCUUGAUGGUCUUGGACAAGAUCCAGAAGAAUUCUUUGGAUUGCCAGGCAGAGACUCCUAUUUUCUUCCAUUAGUUUCUCCCCAUCAAAUGGAGCUUUUCUCUCUGUUCUGAGCUGCCUGGAGCUGGGAGUGGAGGGACAAAAGCUCCCAUGUGGCCACCAUCACCAGGACUGUGCUGGGUCAGACCUGAAGCCAGCAUGGUACUGGGUCUUGCCCAAGGCCUGCUGAAAGUCAUCUCUGUUUUCUCAAGGCCCUGGGGCUGUACAGUUAGCAGAUUGACAAGCCAGCCAGGCCUGUGUCAUCCCUUCAGCACAGUGAGUUCCUGCAGGCCCCAGCUGGGUUCACAGAUGCUGUCCAGGAGUCAGGGACUAGAGUAAAAAAACCUUAGAAGUCUAUCUACUUAGUGUGCUAUCGUAGUGUGGCUGAGCUGGCACUCAGAGUACAAGAUGCAAUCCUUUCCACUCUUUCCCUGAAGUCCCUGGGGCUCUUCAGUCAGCUUGUAGUGAGUGCUACCUUGCCUGAGACUUACCUUCAGGGCAGUAGGCUCCUUUCUGGUCCAGGGCAGGUUCCCAAAUGCCAUCUAAGAGACAAGGCCUGGAAUCAGGGCCCAAGAGUCCAUUUGGUAGUCUACCCUUCUGUUGCAAACUGGUACUUAAGGUACAAGGCAAAGUCUCAUUUACUUACCCAAGACCCACAUCAUACUACCUGGGUAUUGCUGCUGGUUAUUCAGGGCUCAAGGGUUCUUUAGUUAGCAAGUGAUGAAUCUUGCUGGGACUGUGUUCUUCUCUUUAAGGCAGCAGGAUCCCUUUUGUCUCAGGGUGUAUCUAGAAAUGUCAUGUGGGAGUUUAUUCCUAGAAAGGGGGUCUCAGGACUCUGACUGAUGUCCUAUCCUGCUAUAGCAGAGCUAGUAUCUAAAAUAGGAGACAAAGUCCUCUUCACUUUCGCUUUCCUCUCCUCAAACAGAAGGAAAGGGCCUUUUUUAGAGUUGUGAGCAGUUCAGCCUUGGGUUUGGGGAGGGUUAGCACCAGCAUUCCCAUAGCUGCCCCAGCUAGUAUAGUUGAAAUGUUCCCCUCCCCCUGUUUACUGGCUCUGAGCCCAGCUGUGCAUUAGUACUCUCCUAGGAGUUGCAGUUUUUGUAUCCUUGUAGCCUUGACUACCUUUCAAGUUUAUUUAGAACUCCAGGGCACUUUGUCUUGUGGUGGCGAGGCUUGCAAGAACUGAAGUUCCAACCACUGGGAUGGGUGAUUCCCACCUGGGUAGGGCUGGUUCAAAUGCUUCUUCCAUGGGUGAGCAUCAGUUGAGUUCGGUCUAGUUUUGCUUUCUUCUAAAACAGGGCUGCACUGAGUCCAACUCAGUGUCUCACCAUUUUUGUGCUCUCCCUUUCCCAUGCACUCAGAUUUUCUCUCCACCACACUGCCACUGUCAAGGGACGGGGGAGAGGUGGCACUGAUGAUUCAGGACUGUUUGUCCUACCUCCUAAGUACCUCUUUUAGUGAUAUGAAUUUAAAACCAGGUACUUUGAGCGCUCAUCUGAUUUUUGGCUCUUAUGAAGGUAUUUUUAAAAAAUUUUUUCUGUAGAUAUUUGUUAAAUUGGUGUUCUUGUGAGGGUGAUGAUAGGUGAAGCCUUCCAUUUUGCC
rnacentral:lncRNA from 1 species